UACGGGAGGCAGCAGUGGGGAAUAUUGCACAAUGGGCGCAAGCCUGAUGCAGCCAUGCCGCGUGUAUGAAAAAGGCCUUCGGGUUGUAAAGUACUUUCAGUCGUGAGGAAGGUGUUAAGGUUAAUAACCUUAGCAAUUGACGUUAGCGACAGAAGAAGCACCGGCUAACUCCGUGCCAGCAGCCGCGGUAAUACGGAGGGUGCGAGCGUUAAUCGGAAUUACUGGGCGUAAAGGGCACGCAGGCGGUUAAUAAGUUGGAUGUGAAAUCCCCGGGCUUAACCUGGGAAUGGCAUUCAAGACUGGUUAGCUAGAGUCUUGUAGAGGGGGUAGAAUUCCAUGUGUAGCGGUGAAAUGCGUAGAGAUGUGGAGGAAUACCGGUGGCGAAGGCGGCCCCUGGACAAAGGACUGACGCUCAUGUGCGAAAGCUGGGGAGCGAAACAGGGAUUAGAUACC
rnacentral:rRNA from 1 species